CCUAUGCCCUGAAAAGCCCAUGCGGGAGCCCUACUGGGAGGCCUGCAAGGAGAGAAUCCCGUGAAAGCCGGGGGCGGUCGCGCCGCUGUAAGGGAGGACGAAACCGGCAUGAACCAAUGUCGCUUGCGAUGUGAAGGAGCCGGGAGUAGAGAGAGCCCCGAGCCAGAAGAACUGUGGGAAACGCUUUUUGAGG
rnacentral:ncRNA from 2 species